UACGGAGGGAGCUAGCGUUGUUCGGAAUUACUGGGCGUAAAGCGCGUGUAGGCGGUCUCGCAAGUCGGAUGUGAAAGCCCAGGGCUCAACCCUGGAAGUGCACUCGAUACUGCGAGGCUAGAGUCCCGGAGAGGAUGGUGGAACUCUCGGUGUAGAGGUGAAAUUCGUAGAUAUCGAGAAGAACACCGGUGGCGAAGGCGGCCAUCUGGACGGUGACUGACGCUGAGACGCGAAAGCGUGGGGAGCAAACAGG
rnacentral:rRNA from 1 species